GACGAACGUUGGCGGCGUGCUUACACAUGCAAGUCGAACGGAAAGGCCCUGCUUUUGUGGGGUGCUCGAGUGGCGAACGGGUGAGUAACACGUGAGUAACCUGCCCUUGACUUUGGGAUAACUUCAGGAAACUGGGGCUAAUACCGGAUAGGAGCUCCUGCUGCAUGGUGGGGGUUGGAAAGUUUCGGCGGUUGGGGAUGGACUCGCGGCUUAUCAGCUUGUUGGUGGGGUAGUGGCUUACCAAGGCCUUGACGGGUAGCCGGCCUGAGAGGGUGACCGGCCACAUUGGGACUGAGAUACGGCCCAGACUCCUACGGGAGGCAGCAGUGGGGAAUAUUGCACAAUGGGCGGAAGCCUGAUGCAGCAACGCCGCGUGCGGGAUGACGGCCUUCGGGUUGUAAACCGCUUUCGCCUGUGACGAAGCGUGAGUAACGGUAAUGGGUAAAGAAGCACCGGCUAACUACGUGCCAGCAGCCGCGGUGAUACGUAGGGUGCGAGCGUUGUCCGGAUUUAUUGGGCGUAAAGGGCUCGUAGGUGGUUGAUCGCGUCGGAAGUGUAAUCUUGGGGCUUAACCCUGAGCGUGCUUUCGAUACGGGUUGACUUGAGGAAGGUAGGGGAGAAUGGAAUUCCUGGUGGAGCGGUGGAAUGCGCAGAUAUCAGGAGGAACACCAGUGGCGAAGGCGGUUCUCUGGGCCUUUCCUGACGCUGAGGAGCGAAAGCGUGGGGAGCGAACAGGCUUAGAUACCCUGGUAGUCCACGCUGUAAACGGUGGGUACUAGGUGUGGGGUCCAUUCCACGGGUUCCGUGCCGUAGCUAACGCUUUAAGUACCCCGCCUGGGGAGUACGGCCGCAAGGCUAAAACUCAAAGGAAUUGACGGGGCCCCGCACAAGCGGCGGAGCAUGCGGAUUAAUUCGAUGCAACGCGUAGAACCUUACCUGGGUUUGACAUGGAUCGGGAGUGCUCAGAGAUGGGUGUGCCUCUUUUGGGGUCGGUUCACAGGUGGUGCAUGGCUGUCGUCAGCUCGCGUCGUGAGAUGUUGGGUUAAGUCCCGCAACGAGCGCAACCCUUGUUCACUGUUGCCAGCACGUUAUGGUGGGGACUCAGUGGAGACCGCCGGGGUCAACUCGGAGGAAGGUGGGGAUGACGUCAAGUCAUCAUGCCCCUUAUGUCCAGGGCUUCACGCAUGCUACAAUGGCUGGUACAGAGAGUGGCGAGCCUGUGAGGGUGAGCGAAUCUCGGAAAGCCGGUCUCAGUUCGGAUUGGGGUCUGCAACUCGACCUCAUGAAGUCGGAGUCGCUAGUAAUCGCAGAUCAGCAACGCUGCGGUGAAUACGUUCCCGGGGCU
rnacentral:rRNA from 1 species